CACAAACAACAACAAAUAAAUAAAGCACAUAUAAAAAUUUAUAUUACACGCGACGGCAUUGACGACGAGACAAAUAGAAUUUUGCUGCCAUUCAUUGCUCCCCGGCACGUAAUACUAUUCAGGCUAACCACACAAAAAAUUUCAUAUCCCGUCGUCGUCGUAGUCGUCAUCGGCGGCGACAUUCGACGUUCUCAUCGUUGCCAUCAGCAUACAAAAAAGAUCUCUGCAAUAACAGCCAAAUACUCGAUUAAUGUAUACAACAACAGAAGGGAGAACCGACCGACCGACCAGCCAGUCAACCAACCAACCAAACAACACACAACAACAGCACAACAACAUGACAGCAGCAGCCGUAAACAGUACAAACACACACGUAAUCACAUACAUACAUGCACAAUCAACGUUAUAAGAACGGUGUGGUAAAAAGGAAGUGACGAAAAAAGGACCACUCUAAUAAAAACACUCCACUUAUGAACUGCCUCAGUCACACAGGAGAAUAUUUGAUACUGAUAUUACUGAAGUCCUUGUGAACCCAUUCCUCGUACGAUAACUAAAAUUGUCCAAGCACCGAUUUGUGCCAAAUGUCAACCCCUUUAUAUUUGCUAAGCGAAAGAAAUUGAAUACUUCGCAUUUAGAUAUCAAAGCGACACUAAAACUCAAAAAGCUACUCAUUCGAUCGGAAUCAUGCCAGC